CUACGGGAGGCUGCAGUGGGGAAUCUUGGACAAUGGGCGCAAGCCUGAUCCAGCAAUACCGCGUGUGUGAAGAAGGCCCGAGGGUUGUAAAGCACUUUCAGUGGGGAGGAAAUACUUAAGGUUAAUACCCUUGAGAGUUGACGUUACCCACAGAAGAAGCACCGGCUAACUCUGUGCCAGCAGCCGCGGUAAUACAGAGGGUGCAAGCGUUAAUCGGAGUUACUGGGCGUAAAGGGUGCGUAGGUGGAUAUUUAAGUCGGAUGUGAAAGCCCCGGGCUCAACCUGGGAACUGCAUUCGAUACUGGGUAUCUGGAGUAUGGUAGAGGGGAGUGGAAUUUCCGGUGUAGCGGUGAAAUGCGUAGAUAUCGGAAAGAACACCAGUGGCGAAGGCGACUCCCUGGACCUAUACUGACACUGAGGCACGAAAGCGUGGGGAGCGAACAGGAUUAGAUACCCGAGUAGUC
rnacentral:rRNA from 1 species